rnacentral:rRNA from 1 species
GCUCCCUCCGUCCGCCACUCAGAACGUACCCUUAACCGGGGGUAACCGGGACCGAAGGCCAAGUGGGGGAAAGGUAAUUUGGUACGAAUAGGGCGGAAAGGACCUGAUCCAGCAAUGCCGCGUGUGUGAAGAAGGUCUUCGGAUUGUAAAGCACUUUCGACGGGGACGGAUGAUGAGGUACCCGUAGAAGAAGCCCGGCUAACUUCGUGCCAGCCGCCGCGGUAAUUC